AUAUUUAUCCAUGUAACAAAGCAAUAAUGCUGUGCUGCAGUCCAAGGUAAGUUCUGACAUUGACUGAGGAGAGUGAAGGAGUGUAGUGAUGUGAUCGUCUAUGACAGCAGCAGGAUGAGUCACAUUGGAGGGUGUGUCAGGAGGUUGUAAUAGAGACAGCACUGCGGCACUUUGGCCUAGGCCUUCGGUGACUGUGGCACACAUCUGCUAGCAGCUGUGGCUUGGGUGAUCUUCAUCAUCCUGGAGUUGAAACCCAAAGGAAAACAAGAUAUGUGGAUAUUAAAGGAGGGUGAUCAAGAUUCAAAGUCUUCUGAUAUUAGAACCAGAAGCAGUUUUUGCUCCAGACAGCAAUUCUGACCACUUAGGUGCAAAAUACUCUGAAGCUUGGUCUUCGUCCAGACACCUCUUGAACACUGCCAGGGACGGCGACUCCACCACCUCCCUGGACAGGCCAUUCCAGUGCCUGACCACUCUCUGAGAGAAGAAUUCACAUGCUGCCACUCCAUGGACUAACAUUUUGACUCCAGCUCAUUGUGUUGAUGACGUCUCCUUCCUGGUAAUGAUGCGAUCAAGAAACUGCCACCUUCAGCAUCAUAUUUGUUCAACAGGUUGUGACAAAGUUGAAUAGUGUUCUUUCUGUUCCUGUGUGUGCAUUCCUGGGACCCACCUUCUGCAAACUUUGAGAUGUUCCAAUGUUACCACCACCAUUUCCAACACAUUGAAGCUGAUAUUCGGCUCCAUACACAUUUCCCUGGUCAUAAUCUGCUGAAUCACAGUUGACUGAGUCACUUUUCAUUUCGUGGUGAGAGGGUUGUGCAUGGCCAUCCAGAACAUGGCUUGUCUUUCACGUCGCUAUCAUCACCGUUUAAAAACACCACCCAUCACCUCACUGUGCUGACAUCCAUUGGUUGGUCUCCAUGAACAUUCAGCAAGUGUUGAUGAAUGUCACUGGGUGUAAUUUUUUCAGCAUGAAGCAAUUCAGUUACUCAUUUUUUCUUUCAUGUCAGACACCAUUUUGUCAGACUGCCCUUCUACUGCCAUCUGUCACAUGGCAAUAAAAUGUAAUGGAAUUUUGGUGGGAAGGUUCAACCUUUACUGCUAUCCCACUAACAUCCACCUCUGACAUCAUGACCCAACAUUACAAGAUAGAAUAUAUUACUUUCAGAGCAGUCCUCGUAUGUUCAACAUGAGAUAAGUAAUUUAGUACCUAUUCCUAGAAAUGGUUUAUAUGCUUUUCUGACUUCCUGAGAAUGUGGUAGAAACGUGAACAGUAUGGUUUACUGAGUUGAACAAAGUGACAAAUACAGGGAACUCAUUACAGAAUUUGUUUUGUCUUUCAAUGUGCCUUUCAAAAUUCUGAUCGCAGAAAGGGAAGGACAGAAAGGAGGUCUAGUGAAAGAAGUGGAUAGAUAUAAGGAACAGAAAAUAAAACUAUGGUCAACUGAGGAUGUUAAUUGUCACUGAGAUUAUUAUCCUUUCCAGACGUGUACUGUAGAUAAAUCUGUGUGGUUCUAAAAAAAUAUCUGUGCCAAGCUGUGAGGGACCAUGAUAGUAGGAAGAAGUUGGUCUUCUCUGAAGGCCAAAAUUACUUGUCAGUAUUUCCUUGAUUUUCCUUCCUCUCCAAUGUUUCUUGGAGCUGUGAGCAGUUCUGUAUGCUUAGAUGAACAUUACUGGUGAAGGAAACACUCCUCUGAUAUACUUGAAAUGUCUGUCCUUUAGAAACUUUGAGAAUUUGAAGAACAAUUUUUUCCUGUCUGAUGAUUCUGAAGCAACUGGGAGGCCUUCUCUGAUGUGAAGUCUGUUACAGGAAUCAGAAUUACUCCUGAAUAUUAUAGGCCUUGCAUGAAUGGAGAGUUUGCAUUUCUCUGUAACACUCCUUAUCAACUUUUGACAUCUUGAGAUCCAACUAGAUGCUUUGAAUCUCCAAAAUGAGGCAGGGGAGGAAGAAGCCUGUGGCAGUUCAUAGAUAAUACACUGCAAACAUUACUGCAGUUUUGAGAUACAGUGGAGAGGAUCUCUCCUUCAACUCCUUUCUGUUGAUUUUCUGCUCUUGUGACAUUGUCUUGUCCCUUAUAAUCCAUCCCUUCUUUUUAAUUAUUCACCCUUCAUUAAUACAUAUUUCUAUGGCUGGUAAAAAAAAAAAAGACAAGCGAAUUGACUGGCAUGACACCCUGAGGCAUUUAAACCACUGUUGCCUUCAGACUGGCAGCCUGUCAUAAGCUUAAUGUUUCAUGCAUAGAGAACAUAAUAGCACUGUAAAAACAAUACCUAAGUUCAUCUGUUGGUAGAAAUGCAGCUUUGCUAAGGCUGCUGUAAAGACUGAGUGGGAAGCUCUUUGGGAAGGCAAAAUUGACCAAUACUGUUAAAUUUAAAUUAAGACCAUUGUUCUGCAGGAAUAAAUGAAAAGGCAGAACAAAAUAAAAAACUUCACGGGAAAUAAGAACAUAAGAGGAGUACAGAAAAAAUGUUUCUCACAACCUUGAAUUGGUAGUGGAGGAUUACAUAAAAUCAGAUAUGUGAAGUAACAUUCUGUUAAAUUGUACAAAAAAGUUCUAACUCUAAAUGCUGUAGUUUAGUAAUAGUAUGAAUGUUGUGAACAUGAAGUUUUUGAUGGUCAGAAAGAAAUGUAGCAUGACCUAGGGAGAUGAACCCACAAGCCUCCAUUUUUGUUUUUCCAUUCAUGAUCUCCAGUACUCUUUCAAUCCACCUGUAGAUUUUUCUUUUUUUUUUUUUUUUUUUUUUUUUUUUAAUUCAUAGGGGAAAUAUUAUUUGAGGCAUUAUUUUACUUGCCAUUUGAGGAUUAUAUAAGUGUAAGUGAUGAUCAGAGCCUUACAAAUUUGCAACAGAGUGCUGUAUAGCAUCAAGGUGAUGACUUGGUGUUCUGCGGUCUACACUGCAGUUUUAUCACUAACCAAAGCACUACAUAUCUGAUAUGAAUAAGGAGAACAUGUAACAGCAAUGGAGGAUAAUGCAAGUGACAAAAUGCCGAAAGUUGUAUGUUUGUUGUUGGCAUACAAAGGACUUUAGACAUCUAUCUACAGAAAUAAUUUCACUGUAACUUGGAAGGCAAGUUAAUUUAUAGCUGAAAUAAUAGUUUCAUUAACAUUUUACACAUUCAAAGGAUAAACUUCAUAAAGAAGAAGAUGAAGUAACAUGUUUGUAAAUGUGUUUGUAAUUUCAAGGUGUUUGUAAACUCAAGGUGUUUGUAAGUCUGACAAAUAUAAAAGCCUCCAGGCCUACUCUGCUGUCAGGAGAAGAAACAAUGGGUCAGGUUAUCCACAACUAUUCUAGAGUGGGAUAAAUGCUGUCCCAGAAUUUUUUGUCUUUGUCCCUGUGUAAAAUCAGUGUGAACAGCUGUCUUGGAUAUGAGCAGCUUCAGAUGGAUUUAACCUCCAGUAAUUUGAAUAUGGUGUUUCACACCAGAGAGAACUACUUGUUCUACAGUUAUAGGGUACUGCAGAGUACUCACGGGAUCAGAGAUUUAGUAACUGCAAAUUCCCGGGCUGAUAAAAUAUCCCAGUUUUCUUUGUGAGACAUUAUUUAUAUUUUUGAUCAUGCCAUCCAAAUGUGCUAAGCCCUCAGUCAACACUGCAGGUAAUCUAGCUCUAUCCGAAGUUUUUCACUUCGCAUUCAGUAAGUACAGUUUCUGCCAUAUGAUGAGGAUACUGGGAUGGAAAAUUGUUAUCACUAAUGUCCAGUGAAGUCAGUACUGAGAAUUAGAAUAAGAGAAUAAAAUGAAACCUGCUGCCUCUCAAUUCUCUAAUACAUUUUUACUGUUUUUUUUUUUAAUGAGAUUAAGAGCAGAACAUGUGUCCUCAGUAGUUUUGCUUGUUCUUACAUACAUUAUUAAUGUAGCACUUUUAUAUUUUUCUGUAAGCAUUUUCUAGGUGUGCAAGAUAAUCGGUUUACCCACUUGAUGUUGCUUGAGAUGCUUAUACCUACAGCCAUCAUAAAUCUUGCUUGUUUUUUUUUCCUUUGUUACUAUGUAGGCUUCUUCCAGCAGUGCUAGUCUUAUCGUCAAGCCUGUAGUACUGUCACUUCUUCAGUAGUCUCAGGGAAGAAACAGAAACAUUAUUAAGGUUAGGAGUCACCAUCAACAAACCAUAUUUAUGGCAGUUGAAAUACAGUAUGUAGAGGAAAUUUUCACUUUCAUAUGUUUUAAUAACUCUGUUAUACUAAAAAUAAUAUCUUGAAAAUGUAAAGAUUUUUAAUAUCCUAAAGAGUUUCAAAACCCAUUAUGCAAUUGGAUAGAAAUGCAAUACUUCUAAGUAUACCUGCACUGUCCAGCUGCACUGAAGACAGUAUCUAUUGCUUAAAAGUUUUUUAAAUUUGCAAAAAGCAAACCUACUUGCAUCAUGAGCAGUAAUGAACAUCCAGUGCACUUUGGAGCAAGGAGUCAGUGAGUUUCCCUUGACUUCAAAAAUGUAAAUGAAAUUAUCACAAAUUAUAUUAAAUGAGCACAUUUACACUACACUAAUGAAAGACAGUUUGGUGCUUGGAAAAAAAAAUCAAUUUAAAAGAACUGUUUUAUUAAGUGAGUUGGUAAGUGAGCUUGACUAUAUAUUUAAGGUACUGCUUAAUUAUUUUUUUCUUUACUAUACAGUGAACAAUGCUAUACAAUACGUUACAAUCUCUCUAAUUCUCAUGAACCACUUGGAGAUUUAUAGAGGCUUACUGAAUUUUUUGAAUUAACAAAUAAACAAAUAGGCAUAAUGAAAAGCCAAAGUUACUGUCCCACAAUAUUAUAAGCAGUCAUCUGUGCUGAGAGGAGGACUGAAGGAAAAGGACUGUUCUAUAGAAUGACACUUGGUGAUGAUGCUCUCACAUUUUCAAUAUGUAAUUUAAGGGAUUUACCGCAUACUUAUUCAGAUUUGGUCCUUGCUUACUUUAAUCCUUUCCUGUUUAGUGAGUGACAUGGAUAAAUCAGAAUCUUUGUCCAUUUGAUUUUAGGAAGUGAAUAUAAAAGCAAAAUAUUUGUAAUGAAUUGAAAAAGAAGACAAUAUAACAUGCAGUUGCAGUGUGCUAAGUAUAUUGAUAAAUGCUUUAUGUAAAAACUGAAAAUGACAGCUUUCACAACCCUGAAAACAUGAUACUAAGUGAUGUCUGGGGAUCCAGUACACAUUAUUCAGUCCCCUAAGGCCUAAGAUGGUUAAGAAAGGUAAAAGUCUGUGCUCAGCCUUCAGUACCAAAUCAUAGUAUUCCCACUCAGCAUGAGGUCUAAUCACAGUAUAAAUACCAGUGAACAUUUUAAUGCUGUUGAUAGUUAAGGUGAAACCACUGCUGACUAAUAUUAUGGGAGACGCUGUUUACCAACUGGGGCAGCUGUGUCACUUCAUGCUUUUCCCAUUAGAAAGGAUUCAUGUGACCUUUUCUUUGAAGAAUAUUAAUUCAUGCUGUGUUUGAAAAAUGCUUUUGAUAUGAGACAGAGGAAAUCCAGACUGGUUGGGGAAGCACCUUUGAAAGAGCAAGUUUUCUGCCAUCUUCAGGAAAGCAGCAGAGGCUGCUGCUUCUCCUAGAAUUAGAAGUCAAAAGGCAAAGAAAGCACCCUCUCUCUCUUGCUUUAUCAUUCACCAUAAGGCUUCAAACGUUUUAGCAACAUGAUGAUUUAAAAUCAACAAAAGUGAUUAAGGAAAUUGUGUGUAGUAUUAAUAUAUACUCAGGGAUUUAAAACAUGAACAAUCAGAACCUGGGGAGCCAAUUCUAAAAAAACUACGGAUUAUUGUCAAUUUAGAAACUUUUAUUUGCUUCUUUUCCCAAAUGAUGUUUGUAUUUACUUCAAGAGAUACUUUUAUAGGAAAAAAAAAAAAAGAAAGCAAAACAAUCUAACAAUCUUGUGACCAUGGCAGUUGCAGUAAAAACAGGCUUUUUGUUCCAGCAAAAUUCUUGCUUGAUUCUAAGAGUCGGUAGUUUUGAAAAAAGAAAAAAAAAAUCCUUCAAGCGAUGUCUAAAAAUAAACAUAUUUGUGAGAAUUUUAUGAACUUUGGAUCUGCUUCUCAUUCCUUAGAAGCAAUAACAUAGGAUUAAUUUCAAAAUCUUCAGCUGUGUGUACCAUUUAAGCAGAAAAAAAACUCUGAGCUCAUUCAAUCAUAUAAUCCCGCAAAAGAUAAUUCAAUGUCAGUGUAAACUGCUGGGUCUUCAUAGAUUGUGAGAAACUGGAGGAAGUUCAAAGAAAUAUUUAUUCUGCAAAUAAGGAGAUAAAAACAUAUUUUUCAAUUUCUUUAAAAUUCCUCUGGAUGUCAGAUGUAAUCAGAAAUAUCCACAUUAAUUUUAAAUUUUAAAUGUAUAAGUUAAUUGAAUUUCAGAGGCUUUAGCUGCAAGUUGGGAGCACAGAGAAUACAAUAAAAUGCCAUAAGUAGUUCUUAAAGAUUUUUUUUCUCAUUUUUGAACUUAUUUAACUCAAUUUAUUUAUUUAUUUAUUUAUUCCCCAUGCAUUCACAUACUUGUCUUCCCAGUAUUUUUGGAACCCAAAUUAUGGAUAAAUAAAAUACUCACAAAUCCUCAUUUUUAUAUGCACAAAUCAUACAGUUUUUAAGGAAAUAACACCAUAACACCAUAAGGCUAUGAAAUGUGACAGCUGACCAAUAAUGCCAAGAAUCAAACCUCCAAUAGAAAAUGCCAACUUCUAGUGCAAGGUAAGAGCUCUAACUUCAGUUUCAACCAAUUAAUAUAGACACCUGGGAGGAAUGAGGUUUUAAAUAAAUUCUGCUUUCUUGUGAUAUUAUGAUCAGGUAUAAUUUUGGUAUCUCUUAAGGUACGCUGGUAUGCCUGUCUAAAUUCUGGCAGCAUGUUGCUUAUUUUGUCCUAUGGUCACAGUAUUAGCCAUUCACCUUCCCCUCUCCAUUGGGGUUUACACUGUAAAUAGUUUAGAGUUGACUGAUAGAAAAUUCACCAGUUGUAAAUGGAAGUUUUCAAUAAUAUCCUUUUUCUCCUGAGCUAUUAUUCUUAGAUGGUACUCUACUAUACUCUAUACUCUACUGAAGGAGUCUGUGCAAUUAAGAGUAUAGAAAAAUGUGUGCCAGAUUCUGCCAGAGUGAUAAUUUGUGGGUGGUGACACUAAUGUCAGGAUGCAGCCAAUUUCUUUAAUUAUAAAGUUGAAAGAUAGGUGUUUCUGACCAAGCUGCACUUGCCGCAGCUGUACAGAACUUACACCUCUGAACCUUUUUCAUGCAAAAAAGAGAAGGCAAUGAAGCAGCUGUAUGUAUUUUUUCAGCCUCUGAAAUCAAGGAAAGUAUUUCAAAGCCCGCAUUCCCACAAAGCCAGGCCAGUUAAGAAAAUAUUUGAUUAUGACUUGUUCUCUAGCUUCUUAAUGUCUUGUUUUUUGUUUUUUGUUUUUUUUUCCCUCAUUUCCUGGUGUAGAAAUGUGUAGAGGCAGUUCUGUAACAACAGAUUCUACCUCAGCAGCUUGGCUGCUAUUUGAAAGGUGAGUGAACUCCCUAAUUAGGGGAACACAAUUUCUACUUGCUGCUCCUCAGCAUGGCUAGGGAAAGCAAAAAGUAAACAGAGCACAGGUGCCUGGUCACCCAUGUGAUCUAUGAUGUGGAGCAUUAUAAUGAGACGAGAGCUGGCUUGCAAGGGAGAUGUUCUGGCCCUUUUAAUUACACCUCAUGCAUCAAGCUGUAGUUCUGUUGUCAGGGAAACUGCAUUGCUUUUUUUUUUCUCU